CAUUAGACCUUGACAAGAUGAAGAGAGAGAGAGAGAAGAAGAACAAGAACAAGAACAAGAACAAGAAGAGGAGAGGAGGAGAGUAGAGGAGGGAUAGGGAGAGGAGAAACAAAGACAGAGACAGAAACAAAGACAGAGGAAGAUCAUCAAAAUAUGACAUGGUGGCUAGAUAUUGGAUAUACGGUGGCAAAAACAAGGUUCCCUGUCCUCAAGGGGUUUAUACUUUCCUAUGGCCAUAAAUAGGAAAACAAAAUAAAUGCAAGGCUCCUUCAAUUGCUCUUAUGUGGCCAGGACAACAAAGCUUUUACCAUGCAAGUUUCCCUCCUUUGGAAGUUCUACAGAUCAUCCUUCUUAUACUGGAGCACUCAGAACUGAAUACAAUACUACAGAUGUGAUCUGACCAAGGCAGAGGGUUAUGAAAACUUACCUGUUCCUGGAUAUCCUACCUCUAAAUGUUGCCUAAAGCCAAAAAUCACAUUGAUUUUUUUUUUGGUUUGUUGUGAACCUAUAUUGAACCUGCAGUCCUGUGUCUGGGAAGUUCAUUCCCUCCCCCUCCUGGAGAGUCAACCUCUCUGUCAAGAUUCCUCAAAUGUGAAUGCAGCCUUUGUGAACACCAAUAAAAGAGAGGGAACAGGGACUGACCUGGGCUUUUUGGAGGAACUCCAGGAAGGAGCAGACAGAUAAGGAGGGAAAGGAGGAAGUUAAUGGAAAAUAGGCACACAUGGUCAGGUACAUUCUGAUCUUUGAAGGAAGACUCCGCAGAGGGCAAUUACCAUGCUCUUCAAGUCUAAACUUCUCCAACUCUUUGAAUCUUCCCUUGUCAGAAACUGAAUGUCUUGGAGCCCACCUUGUACCCAUGGGAAAGAAUCCAACAUUCACAGAGCAUUGCACUGGAAAGUCAUAGAAAAAAAUCCUGUAUCUUAAUAAGGAAGAAGGUGGUACUACUUCUGGAUCUAGUCUAAGUAGGGGAGGCAGAAACUAUCUUCCAUUUCAUCAAUGAUUUUUGUUCCACAAUACACACAUAAAAACAAAUGAUAGCAGAGUCCUAUCUACCUCCAGGGGAUUAAAAAAAAUUUUUUUAAAGCAAAAUACAAGGACAUUCAAUCAUAGUAACACUGGUGUGAAGGGGAGAGUCCUGGCAUUUAGCUUAGUUGUUGACCCUCCCAAGACUGAGGAAUGGUCCAUUCCAAGAAGGGUAAAUUAAAAGGCGAGUGACACUGCUGCUUGAUAUUCUGACAUGAAGUUGAAUUAUCAAAUGUGUUUAUUUAAGGGGAUGACAUAAACUCUUGUAGGAGAUAUUAUCAGUGUGGCAGAAAAGAAAAGACUUUAAUAAAAAAAAGCACUUUGUAAAUUCA
rnacentral:lncRNA from 1 species